GCGGCGCACCUUUCAUUCAGCGCAGUGAGCCGCAUAUCGGCACAAUCCUCCCGGGAAAAAGGCAGAGUGGCAGCGGCUACAGACAGGCAGGGAGAACAGACAGAGCUGGAAACUCAGCGCUGACAGGAAGCCAAGCCGAGUCCCAAGCCCCUAUCCAAGGCCUGCGCAGGACCACAGCCGUCGGGACACGACACCGGAGAGCUGCCACCGAGGAGACCUACUGGGCCUACUCAGCAUCCCUCCGCCCUCCACACUGACCCCUUGGAUGGAAACAGGCUGCUUGACCUUGAUCCUGCCCUCUCCUCCUCUUACUUCAUCACCUCAUCAUCCUCUUCCUCAUCCUCGUCAUCCCUCUAAAGACUCCAUUGUAAGCCAAACCAGUGGCUUACAAUACCUGUGGCCUAUUUGCGUGUAGUGCUCAAGCUUUGAUUGGUAUGCAAACUAAAAAUCAAAAAGUGUUUUCACACGUGUCAAUGCUGAAUGCCAAUUGGCAAAAUCGUGUAGCAAAAUAUAGUAAUGUUUAUAGUUGUGAUAGAAGUGUGUUAAUGAAUUGCAAACUGAGUGUAAAGCAGAGAUCGUGCAUUCAGUUUGGCACACUUGGUAAAUGACUUGGCUGCAAGUGGUAAUGGUUUCAGAUAAAGCGCUUCAAGAAUGACUGUUACUGUUUAAGCAUUCAGAAAAAAAAUAAGCAUGUUUGUGGUGUUGAUAUGUACCAUCCUGAAAACAUGUCAUUCGACAUGUACAGCUUCAUAGUCUUUGUCUGGCUUGGUGGAAAAAAGUCCGACUAUGUGGCGCAGACAUCCCUGGUCGUAUCAUUUAGCUGAAAGAGGUCAACAUCAGAAAUGUACACCAUUGACCUGAAAUGCAACCUUAACAUCUUUCUAUUUUAUUCAUUUAUUUUUUUUACCUUAAAUGUUUUGAUACAUGAAACCCAGGUCUGUACU